rnacentral:sRNA from 1 species
AUUCAGCCCAUGCGGGGAAGGACGAGAAGCUUCGACCAAGGUUCGACUCGAGCGAAAGCGAGAGAACGUUGCCGCAGGCAACGACCCUAAGGGCGAAGCGCGCAGCGCUGAGUAAUCCUUCCCCCACCACCA